rnacentral:lncRNA from 1 species
CAAUCAGGAGGAUCUGCAAGUGCAAGCCUGGUAUGAUUUGCAUGUUUUUCCUUCGAUUCCAUAGUAGGUCCAAAACGAGCACCAACACCAACAUACUCAGUGUUUUCUAAACCAUCAAUCCAGAUGGGGACUUUUACCUAUAAAAGAAAUUCGAUCAAAUAAAAUAUAAAAAGUCCACAUUCAUAAUUUUGAAAACAAUAAACUGGAGAAAAGAGCUAUGAGUAAACAAGCAGCAUUUCUAACUUCAAAGGACAGCAAAGAAGUAAGAAAAUCAAUUAUUGCAUAUAUAAUUUAGACGAAAGCAACGAAGGUGCAAGAGUAUUUCCAACAAAUUCAAGCUGAAUUUGAGUUGCAAAUAUUUUGGAGAUUGAAGACAUUCCAAUAAAAUGUUAUCAUCCAAGUAAAAUAUAAUUCUGAUAUACUUUAAAAUUUGAGGAGAUAUCAAAGUUCCCUUCGGCUGAUAGGAAAUGCUUUAAAGUGCUUCAUCAUGCCAAUAUAGCAGGAAUAAAAUCCUACUCUAUGUUGCUUGGACUCUUCAAUUUUUCCUGAAGUAUCCUUGACCGACACCUAUGUCAGACACAUUUGGACAUGAGUACGGGGAUAUGACCCUUCAAGGAUCCUCCAAAUACAUGAAAAGCUUUAAAAUUUUGAACAUAUCUGUAUUUAACAUUCACACCAAAGUCGGAUUAACAUAAGUCCUAGUUAAGUCAAAGUCAUUAUCUCUUUCACAAAAAAAAAAGGGUCAAAAUCAUUAUUUAGCCUAGUUUAAACAAAGCUUUUUUCCUUUUGAUGCAUAUAAACAAAAAAAGUCGAAGUCAAUGUAUUUCCUCCCAACCUCAACAACGAAAUUAAGAGAAAGGAAAAACAGAAAAAGCCUACAUCACAAUAAUUUAGUUCAUAGAAAAAUUGACCACUUAAGUUUCCCUUUAUCCACACCAAAAUUGAAGUAACUCCCGAGAAAACAUUAACUUUUUUCCAUCACGACCAAACCACAAAAUAAGCCCAAAAUUUAAAAAAAAAAAGGUUAUUAGUAAUCAAACAGGAAGAGCAAAAAGACAAAAAGUCAUAAUUUGAAGUAAAUAAAAACAUUCAAACUACUUAUCCAAUAUAAGAGAACAUCUAAACCGAAAAUCAAGGACAAGAACAAAAAGCUAGAUUCUUUCAUCAUCCCUCCAAUUUCUCAGCAACCAAUCAAACAUGGACCCAAAAAAAAAGUUCAGAACUUUUAAAGGGAAUACCAGAACAAAGUUAUUAGCACACCCAGGUCUCUUUGGAGCAACGUUGUCCUGAUGAACUAUGUCCCCAGCUGAAACGAACCCAGCACUCAAAAUUACUAUUAAAAUUACGAUAAACACAAUAUUAAUUUCCAUAUCUGGAAAGAA